UUCAUUCGGUGAAAGAUGGAAUGUUCCAUUCAACGAGGCGACAGCCAAGUUCAAUGGAACCUUUUCUUCUUUCACCGAAUGAAAAUAUUCUUAC
rnacentral:miRNA from 1 species